UGGGGAANUUUCCGCAAUGGGCGAAAGCCUGACGGAGCAAUACCGCGUGAGGGAGGAAUGCCUUUGGGUUGUAAACCUCUUUUCUCAGGGAAGAAGAUCUGACGGUACCUGAGGAAUAAGUAUCGGCUAACUCCGUGCCAGCAGCCGCGGUAAUACGGAGGAUGCAAGCGUUAUCCGGAAUCAUUGGGCGUAAGGCGUCCGCAGGUGGUUUCCAAAGUCUGCUGUUAAAGACUGGAGCUCAACUCCGGAACGGCGGUGGAAACUUGGAAACUAGAGUUCGGUAGGGGUAGCAGGAAUUCCCAGCGUAGCGGUGAAAUGCGUAGAUAUUGGGAAGAACGUCGGUGGCGAAGGCGUGCUACUGGACCGUAACUGACACUCAGGGACGAAAGCUAGGGGAGCGAAAGGGAUUAGAUACCCCUGUAGUCCUAGCUGUAAACGAUGGAAACUAGGUGUGGCUUGA
rnacentral:rRNA from 1 species